rnacentral:rRNA from 1 species
UAAUACAGAGGUGGCAAGCGUUGUUCGGAAUUACUGGGCGUAAAGGGCGCGUAGGCGGCCUACUAAGUCAGACGUGAAAUCCCCCGGCUUAACCUGGGAACUGCGUCUGAUACUGGAAGGCUUGAGUAUGGGAGAGGGAUGUAGAAUUCCAGGUGUAGCGGUGAAAUGCGUAGAUAUCUGGAGGAAUACCGGUGGCGAAGGCGGCAUCCUGGACCAUUACUGACGCUGAGGCGCGAAAGCUAGGGGAGCAAACGGGAUUAGAUACCCCGGUAGUCCUAGCCCUAAACGAUGAAUACUUGGUGUGGCGGGUAUCGAUCCCUGCCGUGCCGAAGCUAACGCAUUAAGUAUUCCGCCUGGGGAGUACGGUCGCAAGGCUG